GUCCUUUUGAUUAUAAUUUAAGGUCUAACCUGCCCAAUGAAUAUUUUUUAAUGGCCGCAGUAUUUUGACUGUGCAAAGGUAGCAUAAUCAUUAGUUUUGUAAUUUAAAGCUUGUAUGAAAGGUUGGACGAGAUAAAUUCUGUCUCUUAAUAAUUAUUUGAAUUUAAUUUUUAAGUUAAAAAGCUUAAAUUUAAUUAAAAGACGAGAAGACCCUAUAGAUCUUUAUAUUUUUAUUAAUUAUUAUUAUUAAGAUUUUUUUUUUAUUUUUAAUUUUUAAAAUUAUUUUAUUGGGGUAAUAGAAAGAUUUAAUUAAUUCUUUUUUGUUAAUAACAUUAAUUUAUGAUUUAUUUAUCCAAUAUUAUUGAAUUAAGUUUAAGUUACCUUAGGGAUAACAGCGUAAUUUUUUUUGAGAGUUCAUAUCGAUAAAAAAGUUUGCGACCUCGAUGUUGGAUUAAAAUUUAUCUUAGGUGUAGAAGUUUAAGUUUUUGGUCUGUUCGACCAUUGAAAUUUU
rnacentral:rRNA from 1 species